rnacentral:lncRNA from 1 species
CAUUCGGUCCCGCUGCCUAGAUGGGCGAGCCAACCAGAAGCGUGCUGCUGCCCUUUUCACUGCCACUAUGCGGCAGGUUCCAGGUUCUUGUUCUGUGACCAGAAGAAUGAGAUUUUUUUCCAAGCAUCAGUGACAGUGCUGGACUACACAGUGGAGGAACCUCGAAAACAUUUUGCUAAGUAAAAGAAGCUGGACAAAAAAUGGUCACAUGCUGUGUGAUUCCAUUUAUAUAAAAUAUCCAGCAUAGGGGAAAUCUAUAAAGAUAGAAAAUUGAUGCUUGACAGGGGCUGGGGAAACGGAGAUUGUGGAAUAAAUGCUUGAUACGCAUGGGAUUUCUAGAGAGGUGGUGAUUGUACAACAUUGUGAAUCUACAGAAUGUCACUGAAUGGUUCACUUUAAAAUGGUUAAUUUUAUGUUAUGUGAAUUCCCC